UACGUAGGGUGCAAGCGUUGUCCGGAAUUAUUGGGCGUAAAGAGCUCGUAGGCGGUCUGUCACGUCGGCUGUGAAAUCCCGAGGCUCAACCUCGGGUCUGCAGUCGAUACGGGCAAACUAGAGUAUUGCAGGGGGAGACUGGAAUUCCUGGUGUAGCGGUGAAAUGCGCAGAUAUCAGGAGGAACACCGGCGGCGAAGGCGGGUCUCUGGGCCAUAACUGACGCUGAGGAGCGAAAGCCAGGGGAGGCAAACGGG
rnacentral:rRNA from 1 species